rnacentral:misc_RNA from 1 species
GAUGAAGAACGCAGUGAAAUGCGAUAAGUAGUGUGAAUUGCAGAAUUCAGUGAAUCAUCGAAUCUUUGAACGCACAUUGCGCCCCUUGGUAUCCCGAGGGGCAUGCCUGUUCGAGCGUCAUUUCACCACUCAAGCCUGGCUUGGUGUUGGGCGACGUCCCCUUUGGGGACGCGCCUUGAAACGCUCGGCGGCGUGGCACCGGCUUUAAGCGUAGCAGAAUCUUUCGCUUUGGAAGUCGGGGCCCCGUCUGCCGGAAGACCUACUCGCAAGGUUGACCUCGGAUCAGGCAGGGAUACCCGCUGAACUUAAGCAUAUCAAUAAGCGGAGGA